ACAUUAGCACACAGCUGCCCCGCCCCAUCCUGGCUGGACUCUGCGUUCCAGGCACAAAGGUCUGCUCCCCUCUAUGCUGAAAGGUGGACUCCAAAGACUCCAAGCCUUUAUUUGUUCUGCUUCCCUAUCCUGUGUUCUUCCCUCCCUUCAAACAUGAGCACCCACCAUGGCUCAGCUUUACCCCCAGGGGUCCAGCCUCCACCCCUCCCGAGUGAACUAACUCCAUGCCUGCAAUUCUGUCUAUCGGCCAACAAUCUGUCUCCUUCCGCACAAAGUAGCACCAGGUCUGGAUGAGGUCUUCAGUCUUGACCUGGACCAGGUGAGGACCUACAAGUGACAGAAGGAGACUUCAGGCAGAUGUGUGCGGGGACUAUUUCUUCACAUUCUCUCACACCUGGAUAAUGGCAGUAGGUUCCUACCUGGUCUCUGCCUUGUGUUCUUGACCCCAAAUGGCCAGUUAUUGACAUAACAUCCAGUGUAAACCUUUUACCAUAUUUUGUUUAUAAUGCACACUUUUUGCUUAACUUUUUGAGGGAAAAAAUAAGGACACACAUUCUACAUGGGCAGUACUAAUUCUGUAUCUAUAUAAAUGUUAAUUCUUUUAUUUAUGCUUAUGCAUUAAAAGUAUA